GGGGGUGUAAAGGUUUCGACUAGGAAGUGAAAAAUUGAUUGCAUGCAGAGGACGUCGGUUGGCCUCUUUAAUCAUCCGAUAAUAUUUUUUAAAUGGCAUCACAGCCAAAAAAGCAACAAUUUACGAUUUCCCUGCAAAUGAACAUGUUUCAAAUGCACAAGGUUUCCUAGCUGUUGCUUAAGCUUUUUAAGACCUAACAGUCUUAAUAGCGCGAUAGUCUUAGAUUAGACCAAGGAUCUAGGAGUCUAUCGCAUUAUUGAUCUUGGUGUGGAAUAAAUUCCGACUGUUUUUAGGAAUUUAUUUCGAGAUUAAAUAAAACAAACCAACUUUAGUGUCUGCAUUCUGCAUCGAAGUUGGUAUUUUCAGAAUGCUAAGCAUGUAGUAGUCAAUUCGUAGUUUGCCAAGGACGAGAGUUCGAUUCUCUCCACCUCCAAAA
rnacentral:tmRNA from 1 species